UACGUAGGGCGCAAGCGUUGUCCGGAUUUAUUGGGCGUAAAGGGCGCGUAGGCGGCUUGUCAAGUCAAAGGUGAAAUCCCUCGGCUCAACUGAGGAACUGCCUUUGAAACUAGCGAGCUUGAGGCCGGGAGGGGGUAGCGGAAUUCCCAGUGUAGCGGUGAAAUGCGUAGAUACUGGGAGGAACACCAGUGGCGAAGGCGGCUACCUGGACCGGUUCUGACGCUGAGGCGCGAAAGCGUGGGUAGCAAACAGG
rnacentral:rRNA from 1 species